ACCUGCCCACUGAAAUUUUUUAAAUGGCCGCAGUAAUUUGACUGUGCAAAGGUAGCAUAAUCAUUAGUUUUUUAAUUAAAAGCUUGUAUGAAGGGUUGGACGAAAUAAAAUCUGUCUUUAUUUAAAUAAUAUUAGAAUUUAAUUUUUAAGUUAAAAAGCUUAAAUAUAUAUAAAAGACGAGAAGACCCUAUAGAUCUUUAUAUUAUAUAAAAUAAUUUUAAUUAGGAAUGUUUAAUUUUUUAUUUUAUUUAAUAUUUUAUUGGGGUAAUAAAAAGAUUUAGUUAAUUCUUUUUGAUAUUUUACAUUAAUUAAUGAUUUUAUGAUCCAAAAUUUUUGAUUAUAAGAUUAAGUUACCUUAGGGAUAACAGCGUAAUUUUUUUAGAGAGUUCAUAUCGAUAAAAAAGUUUGCGACCUCGAUGUUGGAUUAAAAAUUGUUUUAGGCGUAGGAGUUUAGAAAUUUGGUCUGUUCGACCAUUAAAUUUUU
rnacentral:rRNA from 1 species